GACCGGUGCCAUCGAGGAUGAGCCAGACCUACUCCCCUGUUGGAGCUGCAGUCCAAAAGCAGUGAACUUAAUGCGUUCUGGCUUUUCUCACUUUCUUCUUGGCUACUCACUUCGUGUAGGCCCAGAGCCCCGGCCCGCUCCGAGAGCCCGGGGCUCCUGGAAGGUGGCUUGACCUGAGCCGCAAGUACCUGCCAUGUCCAGCCACACAGGGCUCCUCACCCCUGGGCAGCAGGAAGUAGCUACAGAAGAGAAGACCAUCGCCCCAACCCCAUAUGACAAAAGGCUGGAAUGAUAGGUUCCCAGGAGGACAGAGACAGACCCCACCCCCUACCCCCAACUGUGGCUCUUCACCCUGGAGCUAAAAUGUGGUGCUCAGGUUGGGCGGCAAGAAACAGUGGUCUGCAGAAAACAACUGCCUGCAUAGAUUAACCACCUACAGGGAUUAACUGCCCUCUGUCCUGGGGCUCAACCCCCUACCCCUCCCUUCCCCCUCCCCUCCUCCUUCUUCAUUGUUCCUGCCACAAAUUCCCACCAUAAACUCCAAGCACAGAUUCCCGCCACAGAUCUUUCUAAGCCUAGCUCCUCCAUGGUGAGCUCAGCCCGUGCCCCUCUGAUGCCUUAAUAAAUCUCUCUUGCUUUACCCCCUUGGCCUCGUGCAUUCCUCCCUCUGCAAACCUAACAGGUUCCAUCAUGGGGUUUGC